rnacentral:rRNA from 1 species
CACGUAGGGUGUGAGCGUUGUCCGGAAUUAUUGGGCGUAAAGAGCUCGUAGGCGGUGUGUCGCGUCGGCCGUGAAAACCUGUGGCUUAACUAUGGGCUUGCGGUCGAUACGGGCAUCACUGGAGUUCGGCAGGGGAGACUGGAAUUCCUGGUGUAGCGGUGAAAUGCGCAGAUAUCAGGAGGAACACCGGUGGCGAAGGCGGGUCUCUGGGCCGAUACUGACGCUGAGGAGCGAAAGCGUGGGGAGCGAACAGG